rnacentral:siRNA from 1 species
GACAUGAAAGCUAAAAUCCCAUGU